rnacentral:misc_RNA from 1 species
CUUUCCUGGUAACUGCAAAACUUCAGGUGAUGGACAAAAGUCUCCUCAGACAGCCAUCUCUCUACAAACAUCUUUGCCAGAAUAUCGUGCUCAUAUUGACCAGGGAUAUGGUCAGCCUAUGAUCUAUGCAAAAUAUCCUCAUGUCGAUCAAUGUUAUGGAUUAUUCUCAAGUUAUGGACCUCAAAUAUUGGGGCGAAUUAUGCUGCCAAUGAACAUGACAACAGAUGAUGGACCAAUAUUUGUGAAUCCUAAGCAGUACCAUGGAAUCAUCAGACGUCGAAAAACCCGUGCAAAGGCUGUACU